rnacentral:rRNA from 1 species
GACGUGGGGGGCCAGCGUUGCUCGGAAUUACUGGGCGUAAAGGGCGCGUAGGCGGCCAGCACAAGUCAGUUGUGAAAUCUCCGGGCUUAACUCGGAAAGGUCAACUGAUACUGUGCGGCUAGAGUGCGGAAGGGGCAACUGGAAUUCUCGGUGUAGCGGUGAAAUGCGUAGAUAUCGAGAGGAACACCUGCGGCGAAGGCGGGUUGCUGGGCCGACACUGACGCUGAGGCGCGAAAGCCAGGGGAGCGAACGGG